rnacentral:rRNA from 1 species
UUGACGGUACCCUACUAGAAAGGAGCCGCUAACUUCGUGCCAGAAGCGUCGGUAAUACGGGGGCUCCAAGCGUUAUCCGGUGUUAUUGGGCGUAAAGAGUCGUGUAGGUGGUUGGGUAAGUUAUCUUUCAAAUAUCUUUGCUUAACAAAGAGGAGGGGGAUAAUACUGCUCGACUAGAAUUUUCUCAAGGGAGAUCGGAACUGAGGGAGGAGUAGUGAAAUGCGUCGAUACCCUCGGGAACACCAGUGGCGUAGGCGGAUCUCUGGGAGAAGAUUGACACUGAGACACGAAAGCUAGGGGAGCGAAGCAGAUUAGAGACCUGCGUAGUCCUAGCCGUAAACGCAUGCUUGCUAGCUGCAUGAAUCUACCUUCGGGUGGUAUCGUGUGGCGAAGGUAACCCGUUAAGCAAGCCGCCUGGAAAGUACGGCCGCAAGGCUGAAAUUCAAAGGAAUUGGCGGGGAGGCACACAACCAGUGGAACAUGUGGUUUAAUUCGAGACUAACCGAAGAACCUCACCAGGGUUUGACAUGUAGCUGCACGUCUUAAGAAAUUAAGACUCUCUUGAAGGUGCUACACAGGUGCUGCAUGGCUGUCGUCAGCUCGUUCCGUGAGGAGUGCCCUUAAGUGGGACAACGAGCGCAACCCCUAUUACAUGUUAGAAAUGUCAUGUAAGACUGCCUUGCCAUUUGGCGGGGAGGAAGGAGGGGCAGACGUCAAGUCCGCAUGGUCCUUAUGCCCUGGGCUACACACAUGUUACAAUGAGUACGGCAAUGAGUCUGUCGCGAGCACGUAAGUGUAAGCUAAUCUCUUAAAUGUACUCUCAGUGGGGAUUGAGGUCUGCAACUCGACCUCAUGAACACGGAAUUGGUAGUAAUCGCGGGUCAGCUAUACCGCGGUGAUACGUUCUUGCCUCUUGCACACACCGCCCGUCAAACCAGCAAAGU